UUCCGGUUGAUCCUGCCGGACCCCACUGCUAUCGGGAUAGGACUAAGACAUGCAAGUCAAGCGCUUUCUAGCUAAUGUGAGAGCGCGGCGUACAGCUCAGUAACACGUGGCCAACCUGCCCUUGGGACGGGAACACCCCCGGGAAACUGGGGUUAAUUCCCGAUAGGUGAAGAAGUCUGGAAUGACUCUUCGCUCAAAAGACGUUUAUGUCAUGCUCAUAUUCGUCGCCCAGGGAUGGGGCCGCGACCGAUCAGGUUGUUGGUGAGGCAAUGGCCCACCAAGCCUUUUACCGGUGCGGGCCGUGAGAGCGGGAGCCCGGAGAUGGGCACUGAGACAAAGGCCCAGGCCCCACGGGGCGCAGCAGUCGCGAAAAUUUUGCAAUACACGAAAGUGUGACAGAGCUAUCCCGAGUGCCAUCCGCUGAGGAAGGCUUUUACCCAGUAUAAAUAGCUGGGAGAAUAAGGAGAGGGCAAGUCUGGUGUCAGCCGCCGCGGUAAUACCAGCUCUCCGAGUAGUGUGGACGUUUAUUGGGCCUAAAGCAUCCGUAGCUUGCUAGAUAAGUCCUCUGUUAAAUCCACCGAUUCAAUCGUUGGAUUGCGGGGGAUACUGUUUGGCUAGGGGACGGGAGAGGUCGACGGUAUUUCCGGGGUAGGGGUGAAAUCCUAUAAUCCCGGGAGGACCACCAGUGGCGAAGGCUGUCGACUAGAACGCGCCCGACGGUGAGGGAUGAAAGCUGGGGGAGCGAACCGGAUUAGAUACCCGGGUAGUCCCAGCUGUAAACGAUGCACGCUAGGUGGUUUGGGCGGCCACGAGCCGCCCUAGUGCCGCAGGGAAGCUGUUAAGCCUGCCGCCUGGGGAGUACGGCCGCAAGGCUGAAACUUAAAGGAAUUGGCGGGGGAGCACCACAAGG
rnacentral:rRNA from 1 species